UUAAGCGAACAAGCGUACACGGUGGAUGCCCUGGCAGUCAGAGGCGAUGAAGGACGUGCUAAUCUGCGAAAAGCGCCGGUAAGGUGAUAUGAACCGUUAUAGCCGGCGAUGUCCGAAUGGGGAAACCCAGUGUGAUUCGUCACACUAUCUCAGCAUGAAUACAUAGUGCUGUGAGGCGAACCGGGGGAACUGAAACAUCUAAGUACCCCGAGGAAAAGAAAUCAACCGAGAUUCCCCCAGUAGCGGCGAGCGAACGGGGAACAGCCCAGAGCCUGAAUCAGCUUGUGUGUCAGUGGAACGGUCUGGAAAGGCCGGCGAUACAGGGUGACAGCCCCGUACACGAAGGCACACAGGGCUGUGAGCUCGAUGAGUAGGGCGGGACACGUGAUAUCCUGUCUGAAGAUGGGGGGACCAUCCUCCAAGGCUAAAUACUCCUGACUGACCGAUAGUGAACCAGUACCGUGAGGGAAAGGCGAAAAGAACCCCGGCGAGGGGAGUGAAACAGAACCUGAAACCGUGUACGUACAAGCAGUGGGAGCCUUCGUAAGAGGGUGACUGCGUACCUUUUGUAUAAUGGGUCAGCGACUUAUAUUCUGUAGCAAGGUUAACCGAUAGGGGAGCCGAAGGGAAACCGAGUCUUAAUUGGGCGUUAAGUUGCAGGGUAUAGACCCGAAACCCGGUGAUCUAGCCAUGGGCAGGUUGAAGGUUGGGUAACACUAACUGGAGGACCGAACCGACUAAUGUUGAAAAAUUAGCGGAUGACCUGUGGCUGGGGGUGAAAGGCCAAUCAAACCGGGAGAUAGCUGGUUCUCCCCGAAAGCUAUUUAGGUAGCGCCUCGUGAACUCAUCUUCGGGGGUAGAGCACUGUUUCGGCUAGGGGGCCAUCCCGGCUUACCAACCCGAUGCAAACUACGAAUACCGAAGAAUGUUAUCACGGGAGACACACGGCGGGUGCUAACGUCCGUCGUGAAGAGGGAAACAACCCAGACCGCCAGCUAAGGUCCCAAAGUCAUGGUUAAGUGGGAAACGAUGUGGGAAGGCACAGACAGCCAGGAUGUUGGCUUAGAAGCAGCCAUCAUUUAAAGAAAGCGUAAUAGCUCACUGGUCGAGUCGGCCUGCGCGGAAGAUGUAACGGGGCUAAACCAUGCACCGAAGCUGCGGCAGCGACACUAUGUGUUGUUGGGUAGGGGAGCGUUCUGUAAGCCUGUGAAGGUGUGCUGUGAGGCAUGCUGGAGGUAUCAGAAGUGCGAAUGCUGACAUAAGUAACGAUAAAGCGGGUGAAAAGCCCGCUCGCCGGAAGACCAAGGGUUCCUGUCCAACGUUAAUCGGGGCAGGGUGAGUCGACCCCUAAGGCGAGGCCGAAAGGCGUAGUCGAUGGGAAACAGGUUAAUAUUCCUGUACUUGGUGUUACUGCGAAGGGGGGACGGAGAAGGCUAUGUUGGCCGGGCGACGGUUGUCCCGGUUUAAGCGUGUAGGUGUGUGUUCCAGGUAAAUCCGGUUCACUUUAACACUGAGGCGUGAUGACGAGGCACUACGGUGCUGAAGUAACAAAUGCCCUGCUUCCAGGAAAAGCCUCUAAGCAUCAGGUAACACGAAAUCGUACCCCAAACCGACACAGGUGGUCAGGUAGAGAAUACCAAGGCGCUUGAGAGAACUCGGGUGAAGGAACUAGGCAAAAUGGUGCCGUAACUUCGGGAGAAGGCACGCUGACAUGUAGGUGAAGCCCCUGCGGGUGGAGCUGAAGUCAGUCGAAGAUACCAGCUGGCUGCAACUGUUUAUUAAAAACACAGCACUGUGCAAACACGAAAGUGGACGUAUACGGUGUGACGCCUGCCCGGUGCCGGAAGGUUAAUUGAUGGGGUUAUCGCAAGAGAAGCUCCUGAUCGAAGCCCCGGUAAACGGCGGCCGUAACUAUAACGGUCCUAAGGUAGCGAAAUUCCUUGUCGGGUAAGUUCCGACCUGCACGAAUGGCGUAAUGAUGGCCAGGCUGUCUCCACCCGAGACUCAGUGAAAUUGAACUCGCUGUGAAGAUGCAGUGUACCCGCGGCAAGACGGAAAGACCCCGUGAACCUUUACUACAGCUUGACACUGAACAUUGAGCCUUGAUGUGUAGGAUAGGUGGGAGGCUUUGAAGCGUGGACGCCAGUCUGCGUGGAGCCAACCUUGAAAUACCACCCUUUAAUGUUUGAUGUUCUAACCUGGCGCCAUAAUCUGGCGUGGGGACAGUGUCUGGUGGGUAGUUUGACUGGGGCGGUCUCCUCCCAAAGUGUAACGGAGGAGCACGAAGGUCAGCUAAUCCUGGUCGGACAUCAGGAGGUUAGUGCAAUGGCAUAAGCUGGCUUGACUGCGAGAGUGACGGCUCGAGCAGGUGCGAAAGCAGGUCAUAGUGAUCCGGUGGUUCUGUAUGGAAGGGCCAUCGCUCAACGGAUAAAAGGUACUCCGGGGAUAACAGGCUGAUACCGCCCAAGAGUUCAUAUCGACGGCGGUGUUUGGCACCUCGAUGUCGGCUCAUCACAUCCUGGGGCUGAAGUAGGUCCCAAGGGUAUGGCUGUUCGCCAUUUAAAGUGGUACGCGAGCUGGGUUUAGAACGUCGUGAGACAGUUCGGUCCCUAUCUGCCGUGGGCGCUGGAGAAUUGAGGGGGGCUGCUCCCAGUACGAGAGGACCGGAGUGGACGCAUCACUGGUGUUCGGGUUGUCAUGCCAAUGGCACUGCCCGGUAGCUAAAUGCGGAAGAGAUAAGUGCUGAAAGCAUCUAAGCACGAAACUUGCCCCGAGAUGAGUUCUCCCUGAGACUAUAAGUCUCCUGAAGGAACGUUGAAGACGACGACGUUGAUAGGCCGGGUGUGUAAGCGCAGCGAUGCGUUGAGCUAACCGGUACUAAUGAACCGUGAGGCUUAACCUU
rnacentral:rRNA from 1 species